UACGUAGGCAGCGAGCGUUGUUCGGAGUUACUGGGCGUAAAGGGUGUGUAGGCGGUUGCUUAAGUUUGGUGUGAAAUCUCCCGGCUCAACGUGGGAGGGUGCGCCGAAUACUGAGUGACUCGAGUGCGGGAGAGGAGAGUGGAAUUCCUGGUGUAGCGGUGAAAUGCGUAGAUAUCAGGAGGAACACCGGUGGUGUAGACGGCUCUCUGGACCGUAACUGACGCUGAGACACGAAAGCGUGGGUAGCAAACAGG
rnacentral:rRNA from 1 species